rnacentral:ncRNA from 2 species
GCCUCACAUCGCGCCGAUUUGAUAUCAGCUUGCGGGCGCGCUACAAAUCCGGCUAAAGAGAUCGUGCAAGACUCUCA